GAUGAAGAACGCAGCGAAAUGCGAUAAGUAAUGUGAAUUGCAGAAUUCAGUGAAUCAUCGAAUCUUUGAACGCACAUUGCGCCCUCUGGUAUUCCGGGGGGCAUGCCUGUUCGAGCGUCAUUACAACCCUCAAGCUUUGCUUGGUAUUGGACAUUGCCAGUUUCUGGCAGGUCUUAAAAUCAGUGGCGGUGCCAUUUGGCUUCAAGCGUAGUAAUUCUUCUCGCUUUGGAGAUCCAAGUGGUUACUUGCCAAUAACCCCCAAUUUUUUCAGGUUGACCUCGGAUCAGGUAGGGAUACCCGCUGAACUUAAGCAUAUCAAUAAGCGGA
rnacentral:misc_RNA from 1 species